UUAAAUUGAAGAGUUUGAUCAUGGCUCAGAUUGAACGCUGGCGGCAGGCCUAACACAUGCAAGUCGAACGGUAACAGAAAGCAGCUUGCUGCUUUGCUGACGAGUGGCGGACGGGUGAGUAAUGUCUGGGAAACU
rnacentral:rRNA from 1 species